GAUGAACGCUGGCGGCGUGCCUAAUACAUGCAAGUCGAGCGAACAGACGAGGAGCUUGCUCCUUUGACGUUAGCGGCGGACGGGUGAGAAACACGUGGAUAACCUACCUAUCAGACUGGGAUAACUUCGGGAAACCGGAGCUUAUACCGGAUAAUAUAUUGAACCGUAUGGUUCAAUAGUAAAAGACGGUUUUGCUGUCACUUAUAGAUGGAUCCGAGCUGCAUUAGCUAGUUGGUAAGGUAACGGCUUAUCAAGGCAACGAUGCGUAGCCGACCUGAGAGGCUGGUCGGCCACACUGGAACUGAGACACGGUCCAGGCUCCUACGAGAGGCAGCAGUAGGGAAUCGUCCGCAGUAGGCGGAAACCUGACGGAGCAACGCCGCGUGAGUUAUGAAGGUCUUCGGAUCGUAAAGCUCUGUUAUUGGGGAAAAACAAAUGUGUAAGUAACUAUGCACGUCUUGACGGUACCUAAUCAGAAAGCCACGGCUAACUACGUG
rnacentral:rRNA from 1 species